rnacentral:rRNA from 1 species
GGUUAAAGGUACCCGUACCGCAAACCGACACAGGUGGGUGAGGAGAGUAUCCUAAGGCCAGCGAGAGAACUGUUGUUAAGGAACUCGGCAAAAUGACCCCGUAACUUAGGGAUAAGGGGUGCCACCAUCAGGUGGCCGCAGAGAAUAGGCCCAAGCGACUGUUUACCAAAAACAUAGGUUUCUGCUAAGUCGCAAGACGAUGUAUAGGAGCUGACGCCUGCCCGGUGCUGGAAGGUUAAGGGGAUCUGUUAGAG